GACAGAGGAUGCAAGCGUUAUCCGGAAUGAUUGGGCGUAAAGCGUCUGUAGGUGGCUUUUUUAAGUCCGCCGUCAAAUCCCAGGGCUCAACCCUGGACAGGCGGUGGAAACUACCAAGCUGGAGUGACGGUAGGGGCAGAGGGAAUUUCCGGUGGAGGCGGUGAAAUGACGUAGAGAUCGGAAAGAACACCAACGGCGAAAGCACUCUGCUGGCCGACACUGACACUGAGAGACGAAAGCUAGAGGAGCGAAUGGG
rnacentral:rRNA from 1 species